UGAAAUGGCGGCACCGGCUGGUCCCGCCGUGGAAUUUUUUGGGCUCUUUUCGUCUCGCCCCUCAUCGGCUGCUGACCCCAGGACACAGGGAUACUGCGGGCGCUGGAGCGGCCUGGGCAGCUGCCAUUGCCCUCAUCUCCCGCCCUUAUUCAGUAUGAGACAGCUCGGGAUAUUCGGCCUGGAGAAGAGCGGCGGAUGGACCUCAGAGUCCCUUCCAGUGCCUAAGGGGACUCCAGGACAGCUAGAGAAGUCUUUUGGACAAGUGUCUGGUGUUCCAGGACAAGAGAGAAUGGCUUCCCACUGUCAGAGGGCAGAGCUGGAUGGGAUCUUGGGCAGGAAUUUUCCCUGGCAGGGUGAGCUCUGGUUCCAGUCAGGGUUCAGCAGUGGAUGUGUGUGUUGCUGCUGCUGCCUGGAGGAUUGCUGUGGGAAAAGGUGCAAUGGAGUUUGAACCAGGUGUUACCCUGCUCAUUAGAGGUUACCUGGACUUCACGGUUUGGUUUAUUUGAAGAGCUAAAUUUGAUAAUAAACUGAAGCCAAGGCUACGAUGUAGACCCAGAUUUCUUUUCAAAUGACAGAAUCCUGUAUCUGGGGAGGAUGAAAAGCUGUCAGUGUUUAAAGACUUACAGCACAGUGUUUUUGAGUUCAUGGAUUUUUGGGUGUACAAAUUCUUCUGUUUUGAAGUCUCUUUUACAAGGCGUGAUGAUUCUUGUUUCUGUCUUCAAGGUUCUUCUCUUUAAUGGAAACUAAUGCUUGCAACUAUUACAGUAAUACUAGUAUCAAAUUUUAAAGUGUUUUGUUUUAAAUGUAACUUUUUGCUAGUGACCAAAUGUCAAUAAUUUCUGAAUCUGGAAGAAGUAACUUUUGCCAUAAGUUCACCUUUGCAGUUAAAUAACUAAGCAUGAAACA